GCUGGUCUCGAACUCCUGACCUGAAGUGAUCCACCCUCCUCAGCCUCCCAAAGUGCUGGGAUUACAGGUGUGAGCCACGGCGCCCGGCCACAAUUUUCAACAUUUAUUCCACCAUGUCCACCAUGUGCCGAGGUUCUGGGAGGCUCAGGCCCUUGACACAACCAUGUCCCUCAAAGAGACGAGCACAGAACCAGGCAGCCCUCGGACUUCAGACCCCAGAGCCACCAAGUCCCCCACUAACGGUGCCACCCCCUUCCCCUCCUGGCCACGCAGGACGGCCCCAGGGUUGCCCUGUGCUGAUGGUGCCACCUGGUGGUAGACAUGGGAACGCGCUCACUUGAGAUUUCCUCUCCGUGACCCUUUUCCCCCUCUAGGGGUCCGGGGCUGCCCUGAGGCCACCGCCCAGCAAGAUCAGGACAGGCUUGAGCGGCCCUGGGAUAGCGCAGUGAGGGUUCCGGGGGGCUCCGGUGCGGGCAGAACCAGGAAUGUGCCGGCGGGGGCGGUGGGUACGGGGCGCAGGGCGUGGCGGCUGCGGGACCUCAGCUCGCCUGUUUAAAUCCCUUCCUGGGCACCCCGGGGGCCCGGCCGUUUCCCCUCAGGCUGUUUCUUCUGGGACCACCGCACUAUCUCCUCCAGGGCAGCCUCCAGCGGAGCCCGUUAUUGGCCGCCAGGCAAACCAGUCCCAUCCCUCCAGCAACCGGGACUUUCCGGGCAGGGCUCCCCAGCGUGGGUUCAGCCAAUUAAGGAAGCAAUUAGCUUCCCGUGAGCCUAUUCAUGCUUCCUCACCCACAGUUCCAAGGUUCUGUGAGACCAGAGCCCGUCUCCCGUGGGCAGAGGGUGUGUGUGGCUGCCACUAGUCUGCAGACGCUGGCUCCACCCCACAGAGUUGCAAGGCCAGGAAAUGUGCAUUUGAACAGACCCUGGCUCUCACACUUCAGAAACGGCUGGAAGCACCUCUCAAGUCUGACACAGAUUCUCAGCGGCAUUCAGACUUCAGCAGCUUUUGGGCGGUUCCCCGAAGCUCGACAGCAUUUACAAUCCGGUUUCUGAGUGGGAACGGCUUUCUCCAGGAGACGGCUCCUCGGGAACGUAGAGACUUCCUGCAGUCACUGGACUCGAAGGUUGGAGUGCAAUGGCGUGAUCUUGGCUCACUGAAACCUCCACCUCCCCGGUUCCAGC